rnacentral:rRNA from 1 species
UACGUAGGGGGCAAGCGUUGUCCGGAAUCAUUGGGCGUAAAGAGCGUGUAGGCGGCCUGGUAAGUCCGCUGUGAAAGUCCAGGGCUCAACCCUGGAAUGCCGGUGGAAACUGUCAGGCUCGAGUCCGGGAGAGGCGAGUGGAAUUCCUGGUGUAGCGGUGAAAUGCGCAGAUAUCAGGAGGAACACCAAUGGCGAAGGCAGCUCGCUGGGACGGUACUGACGCUGAGACGCGAAAGCGUGGGGAGCAAACAGG